AGGACGAACGCUGGCGGCGUGCUUAACACAUGCAAGUCGAGCGGAAAGGCCCUUCGGGGUACUCGAGCGGCGAACGGGUGAGUAACACGUGAGUAAUCUGCCCCUAGCUCUGGGAUAGCUCCGGGAAACCGGGAUUAAUACCAGAUACGACCACUUUAGACAUCUGCUGUGGUGGAAAGAAUUUCGGCUAGGGAUGAGCUCGCGGCCUAUCAGCUUGUUGGUGAGGUAACGGCUCACCAAGGCGACGACGGGUAGCCGGCCUGAGAGGGCGACCGGCCACACUGGGACUGAGACACGGCCCAGACUCCUACGGGAGGCAGCAGUGGGGAAUAUUGCGCAAUGGGCGAAAGCCUGACGCAGCGACGCCGCGUGGGGGAUGAAGGCCUUCGGGUUGUAAACCCUUUCAGCAGGACGAAGCGAAGUGACGGUACCUGCAGAAGAAGCGCCGGCUAACUACGCGCCAGCAGCCGC
rnacentral:rRNA from 1 species